rnacentral:piRNA from 1 species
UGUGUGCAAGGUACCUGCUGAGUAACUAAC